rnacentral:rRNA from 1 species
AGCAUUUAUACAGCGAAACUGCGAAUGGGCUCCAUUAUAUAAGUUAUCGUUUAUUUGAUAGUGCCUUACUACUUGGAUAACCGUGGUAAUUCUAGAGCUAAUACAUGCUGAAAGCCCCGACUCACGGAGGGGCGUAUUUAUUAGAUUAAAAACCAAUGCCCUUCGGGGCUCCUUGGUGAUUCAUGAUAACUUCUCGAAUCGCACGGCCUUGCGCCGGCGAUGGUUCAUUCAAAUUUCUUCCCUAUCAACUUUCGAUGUUUGGGUAGUGGCCAAACAUGGUGGCAACGGGUAACGGAGGGUUAGGGCUCGACCCCGGAGAAGGAGCCUGAGAAACGGCUCCUACAUCCAAGGAAGGCAGCAGGCGCGCAAAUUACCCAAUCCCGACUCGGGGAGGUAGUGACAAUAAAUACUGAUGCAGGGCUCUUUAGGGUCUUGCAAUUGGAAUGAGUACAAUUUAAAUCCCUUAACGAGGAACAAUUGGAGGGCAAGUCUGGUGCCAGCAGCCGCGGUAACUCCAGCUCCAAUAGCGUAUAUUAAAGUUGUUGUGGUUAAAAAGCUCGUAGUUGAACCUUGGGCCUGGCCGUCCGGUCCGCCUCACCGCGUGCACUGGCACGGCCGGGCCUUCCCACCGCGGAAUCGCAUGCCCUUUACUGGGCGUGUCGGGGAAGCGGUACUUUUACUGUGAAAAAAUUAGAGUGCUCUAAGCAGGCCUAUGCUCGAAUACAUUAGCAUGGAAUAAUAGAAUAGGACAGGCGUUCUAUUUUGUUGGUUUCUAGGACGUCUGUAAUGAUUAACAGAAACAAUCGGGGGCGUCAGUAUUGCAUCGUCAGAGGUGAAAUUCUUAGAUCGACGCAAGACUAACUACUGCGAAAGCAUUCGCCAAGGGUGUUUUCAUUAAUCAGGAACGAAAGUUAGGGGAUCGAAGACGAUCAGAUACCGUCGUAGUCUUAACCAUAAACUAUGCCGACUAGGGAUCGGGCGGUGUUAAUUUUUGACCCGCUCGGCACCUUACGAGAAAUCUUAAGUGCUUGGGCUCCAGGGGAG